UGCUCGAGGAUGAUAAGUGCCUUCCAGAAGAACAAGUUCAAGCAAUUGCUAAGCAGCUGGUAAAAGCAUUGUAUUACUUGCACUCCAAUCGUAUUAUCCACCGGGAUAUGAAACCUCAGAACAUCCUUAUUGGAAAAGGAUCUAUUGUCAAGGUACAAUUCUGAAUACUCAAGGUGAUGGUGAUCAC